UACGAAGGGGGCUAGCGUUGCUCGGAAUUACUGGGCGUAAAGGGCGCGUAGGCGGCCAACUAAGUCAGACGUGAAAUCCCUCGGCUCAACCGGGGAACUGCGUCUGAUACUGGAUGGCUUGAAUUCGGGAGAGGGAUGCGGAAUUCCUGGUGUAGCGGUGGAAUGCGCAGAUAUCAGGAGGAACACCGAUGGCGAAGGCGGUUCUCUGGGCAUGUCCUGACGCUGAGGAGCGAAAGUGUGGGGAGCGAACAGG
rnacentral:rRNA from 1 species